GAUCCCAUCAGAACUCCGAAGUUAAGCGUGCUUGGGCGGGAGUAGUACUAGGAUGUGUGACCUCCUGGGAAGUCCUUGUGUUGCACCC
rnacentral:rRNA from 1 species